AACCGGUGUGAUGGCCGUAGAGAUCUACAUGCACGUUUGGUUGGAGCGCGAAAAUGGGAUGUUAGCAUCAAGGACAGUUUUUUUAGAUGAUCAAAGGAAGGAGCUACGAGCAAUGGAGAGGAUAUAAAAUCUUGGAUAGAUAUUCGGUCGAGUUACGAGCCGUCACAAGUGACCUUCCCGAACCUAUUCAAGCUGGUGAAAAAUAAGUUAUGUUUGAUUAAAGAUAGCACACCAUGAAAUUAUUGUAAAAAAUGAGAUAAAAUGGAUGUGGUCUUAUGAUACAACAAUUUCUGAAUUCGGGGCAACGUACCAUUGUGUUGUAACUAGCAUGAGGGAUUCUUAACAAUGUUUUAUGGGUCGUGUGUCCUUUUCAUCA